AGCAGCCGCGGUAAUUCCAGCUCCAAUAGCGUAUAUUAAAGUUGUUGCAGUUAAAAGCUCGUAGUUGAAUUUCGGGGUUCUACCGUUGGUCGGGCUUUGUCUGUACUGGCGUGUAGAAUUUCUACCUUCUGGGGAACCAUCAUGUUAUUAAUUUAACGUGGUGGGAAACCAGGACCUUUACCUUGAAAAAUUAGAGUGUUCAAAGCAGGCUUAUGUCUGAAUACAUUAGCAUGGAAUAAUAGAAUAGGACGGUGGUCCUGUUUUGUUGGUUUCUGAAUCACCGUAAUGAUUAAUAGGAUAGUUGGGGGCAUUAGUAUUCAAUUGUCAGAGGUGAAAUUCUUGGAUUUAUUGAAGACUAACUUCUGCGAAAGCAUUUGCCAAGGAUGUUUUCAUUAAUCAAGAACGAAGUUAGGGGAUCGAGACGAUCAGAUACCGUCGUAGUCUUAACCA
rnacentral:rRNA from 1 species